rnacentral:rRNA from 1 species
UACGGAGGAGGAAAGCGUUAUCCGGAAUUAUUGGGAGUAAAGCGUCCGUAGGUGGUUGGCCAAGUCUGCUGUCAAAGGGUGGGGCUUAACCUCAUAAAGGCAGUGGAAACUGGCGAGCUAGAGUGCGGUAGGGGUAGGGGGAAUUCCCAGUGUAGCGGUGAAAUGCGUAGAGAUUGGGAAGAACAUCGGUGGCGAAAGCGCCCUGCUGGGCCUGCACUGACACUGAGGGAAGAAAGCUAGGGGAGCGAAAGGG